AUUGGACGCUGGCGGCAUGCCUUACACAUGCAAGUCGAACGGUAACAGGUCUUCGGAUGCUGACGAGUGGCGAACGGGUGAGUAAUACAUCGGAACGUGCCCAGACGUGGGGGAUAACGAGGCGAAAGCUUUGCUAAUACCGCAUACGAUCUAAGGAUGAAAGCAGGGGACCGCAAGGCCUUGCGCGUUUGGAGCGGCCGAUGGCAGAUUAGGUAGUUGGUGGGAUAAAAGCUUACCAAGCCGACGAUCUGUAGCUGGUCUGAGAGGACGACCAGCCACACUGGGACUGAGACACGGCCCAGACUCCUACGGGAGGCAGCAGUGGGGAAUUUUGGACAAUGGGCGAAAGCCUGAUCCAGCAAUGCCGCGUGCAGGAUGAAGGCCUUCGGGUUGUAAACUGCUUUUGUACGGAACGAAAAGGCUCUGGCUAAUACCUGGGGCACAUGACGGUACCGUAAGAAUAAGCACCGGCUAACUACGUG
rnacentral:rRNA from 1 species